rnacentral:rRNA from 1 species
ACAGCAGUAGCCAGGUAAUACGUAGGUGGCAAGCGUUAUCCGGAAUUAUUGGGCGUAAAGCGCGCGUAGGCGGUUUCUUAAGUCUGAUGUGAAAGCCCACGGCUCAACCGUGGAGGGUCAUUGGAAACUGGGAAACUUGAGUGCAGAAGAGGAAAGUGGAAUUCCAUGUGUAGCGGUGAAAUGCGCAGAGAUAUGGAGGAACACCAGUGGCGAAGGCGACUUUCUGGUCUGUAACUGACGCUGAUGUGCGAAAGCGUGGGGAUCAAACAGGAUUAGAUACCCCCGUAGUCCCUGUCUCUUAUACA